UCGUUACAUACCAGACACCUUAAUGACGACGAAGGAUCGUGGCUAUUGCGAGCAUUCGAAGAGGUACGAGGUCGAUGGACAGCAAACUAAGGUCGUUCAGGAGCGAACGAGGAGCAUAAUAUUAGUUUAAAAGCAGUUAGUUGCAUGGGUUUGAACGCCCACAGAUAAAAAAUGUUGCACCCAUUUUCAUUUCCUUGCUCCAACCACUCUUCUAUGUCGGUGUUGCCUUCACCAUUAUUCCUCAAUGCUACGUCGUUUCAUCUCACGCCCCAAUCUCCCUCUUUUCCGUUUCCCCGCCGACCGCUAAAUCCACCGGCGCUCCGAUCAGUUCUCCCGGUGAGUGCCAGCGCCACUUCACCAAUCUUCGAUCUCAGUAGGGGCAAAGGAAUGAGUCCGUUCUUUGAUGUUGAGCUAAAAGUCCGCGAUUAUGAGUUGGAUCAGUAUGGUGUGGUCAACAAUGCAAUUUAUGCAAGUUAUUGCCAGCAUGGUCGUCAUGAACUCUUCGAAAGCAUUGGUAUUAAUUGUGAUGCUGUGGCUCGCAGUGGUGGUGCAUUGGCAGUGUCAGAAUUAUCAAUCAAAUUCCUUGCGCCUCUAAGAAGUGGAGACAAAUUUGUUGUAAAGGUUAGGAUUUCUGGUGCUUCAGCUGCUCGUUUUUACUUUGAUCACUUCAUCUGUAAGCUGCCAAACCAAGAGCCUAUUUUGGAAGCCAAGGCCACAGCUGUGUGGCUUGACAAAAACUAUCGUCCUGUUCGAAUUCCGGCAGAGAUGAAGUCUAAAAUUGUAGAAUUUAUUGAAAUGGGGACUCUUUAGGUAGUUCAGUUUCCAGAUGAACUUAGUUUCUUGGUUAAUAGAACAUUCAGAAAGGUUAGCAAAAAAGCAAAUGAGGUUUUGCUCCUAGGUGAGUGGUCGAGGUUCGGGAGAGCCGCCUCAGUGGUGGUACAAGGGGUAGCGCCCAUGGCCUCGUAGAGGCAUGUUACUUUUGUGAACUUUUGAUUUAUUGUAAUUUUCAUUUUUCUUAGUAAUUUGUUUGGGUUUGAGACCAUAAAUAGUUAUUGUUAAGGUUUUUUAAAUUCUAUUUAUAUUCUCUUAUAAACCGAGAGACUUGUAAUGAGUAGCGAUUAGAUAAUUAUAGUACAGAUAAGCUAGACGUAAUCUA